UAGGGAAUCUUCCGCAAUGGACGCAAGUCUGACGGAGCAACGCCGCGUGAGUGAAGAAGGAUUUCGGUUCGUAAAACUCUGUUGUUAGAGAAGAACAGCGCAUAGAGUAACUGUUAUGCGUGUGACGGUAUCUAACCAGAAAGCCACGGCUAACUACGUGCCAGCAGCCGCGGUAAUACGUAGGUGGCAAGCGUUGUCCGGAUUUAUUGGGCGUAAAGCGAGCGCAGGCGGUCAAUUAAGUCUGAUGUGAAAGCCCCCGGCUCAACCGGGGAGGGUCAUUGGAGACUGGUUGACUUGAGUGCAGAAGAGGUGAGUGGACUUCCAUGUGUGGCGGUGAAAUGCGUAGAUAUAUGGAGGAACACCAGUGGCGAAGGCGACUCUCUGGUCUGUAACUGACGCUGAGGCUCGAAAGCGUGGGUAGCAAACAGG
rnacentral:rRNA from 1 species